CUGCAAGUUUAAUAGUACAGAAAACGAAAUGAUACACUAUCUCUUUGGUCAGGACCUUUUUUUGUAUUGGUAAAGGAGUUAUUUGUUCUCUGAAGAAUGGGGACAUAAUACAUAACCAAAUUGUAGAAAUAGAGGCCCCCAAAAGGAAUUUUGGCUGGUGAAAGGAAAAACAACCACUGUCGAUACCCAAUCUGAAUAUGAACAUUCUUAUUCCUCGUCAUCCUCGUCGUUGUGGAAGCGCAGGUGCCUCCCCUCCGGCAGCAGCAGCCCCCUAGGCAUCAGUGCGCCAAGCUCCGCCCUCGUCUCAGUCGCAUCUGCCACCUCCUCUCGUCCGAUCUCGUCGUCACUAUUGAUGAUGAACCUGGUGUGCUUCCCCUCGAGCUGCGUCAGCCCAGUCUUCUCUUCAUCCAACAUGGUCAUCCUGCCCAUCUCAUCUCAUCCUGCCCGAACCUUUUAGGUACCUUCAAAAUACCUUGCAACUUGUUUCUCCUUUCCUCCAUCGGCACGGUACCUGGAGAUGGUGGUGGUGCCCUCGUGAUGUAGUAGGAGGGAGGCUACAACGUCGAACUAGGCAGGGGAAGGGCGCCAACGGCUGAUGUCGAUGAGCCACCACAGCACCCCACUCUCAUCUGUCAUCCCCACCCCAAGACAGAGAGAGGAAGCAUCGCUCUUCACCUCCACCUCGGCCUUCACCUUCGUCGCCACCGCGACCUUGGUCUGGACACAGAUUGAGUCCUUCGCCAUCGCCGCCGUAGCCUGGACGCGGAUCAGGUCCUCGGUCAUCGCCGCCACAGCCUGGACACGGAUCUGGGCUGGCUUGGAGCCCCUUCGCACGAAGCUAGAGCUACGGUGUCGACCUCCAAGCACGCUUCCCCCAAACUUUCCUCUUCUGGACGACGCCUCCAUCGUCGACCUCCACGGCCUCCAAGCGUGCGUGCUAGAGAGCAAG
rnacentral:misc_RNA from 1 species